GGAUGCGAUCAUACCAGCACUAAAUCACGGGAUCCCAUCAGAACUCCGAAGUUAAUCGUGCUUGGGCGAGAGUAGUACUAGGAUGGGUGACCUCUUGGGCAGUCCUCGUGUUGCAUUCC
rnacentral:rRNA from 16 species